UCAUUCUGCUUGACUAUCUGUGUUGGUUUCCAUGCAUGGUAAAGAACAGCCAUCUCUCCCAGUGUCGAAGAAGUGGUGUUGUGUAGGAGAUGAACCUUUUCGGUCAACCUUGCCUCAGCCCUUGGCCCUCUGUCACACUUUUGUGACUCUCCAAGGAGACUGUUUUAUUUUCAGUGGCUCCCAGAAGUUGCGGAUGUGUUAACACCAACACCAGUCAUUGUCCCAGAGGGGAGGGUCUCCAUCACCACCCAGAUGCAGGCCGACUAGAGGCCAGACCCUCAGGCAGCAGCUUUUACAGGGUGCAAGUAUAUACGGUCCAGGGGGACUGCAAGUGUGAGCUCGCCCUGCCCGCUCGAGCCAGGCGAUCUGGCAGUGUCCUCUAGGUGGCAGUGGUAAAAAUCGGGGCCCAGAUGAGUACAGAAGCGCUUAAUUAGGGGCGUUAGCUAACCAGCGCGAGCCAGGCCGAGGGGGAAGGCGAGGGUGGUGCCCUCCAGGCUCCCUUCCCUCAGAGCGAGUCUGGAGCCGCUAAGCGUGUGCCUAACCUCAAACCCGCCUCUCAGCCCAGCGCUGCAGGCCGGCAAGUAGGCCUCUUUCACAGAAAGAUGUAGGGUCGUCUGUGCGGUGCGCUGGGGUGGCAGUCCGCCGAGAACCUACUCCAGCUCCAGGGACCGGAGGGUAACCCCGCCACGCCACCGCCACCGCUAGAGCUAGCCGGCCCCUAGGGGGCAGGCGCAGGAAGGGGGCCCUGGCAGUCACGUGUGAGCUCCGCUCCCAGAGAUCCUGGCCCUCUCCCGCGCCCAGAGGUGGAUGGCACCCACCAGCUAGAACGAGGCAGGGUGAGCCCUGCCAGGAAAAACAAAAAACAAAAAGAUGGCGCCGCGUUGCUGGAAAGAAGCCGAGGGGGAGCUUGUAAAUGGCGCCCGCAGAGGAAGAGCGCAAAGGUGGUGCCCACCGGCCCCAGCGUGAUGCUUUGGAAGCUUGCUCCUCAGACCACCACUCGCCCGUACCGUCCUGGCGUCUCUCUGGCUGCCUCUGCAGUGACCCCCGGUGCAGGCAGAUGUCCUGGAUCUAAUCCAGGAUUUAACUGAUUCAAGGUUGUUGGGUCCAGUGGAAACCUUGAGACCCCUCCUCCCUGGCUGGCUCUGAAGUCCAAUAUUUGUCUUCUCGGCAUGGUCAUAAAGAGAAGAAAGAGCCAGGAAAGAGUCGGAAUACAUGUUUGCAGACAGCUAGGACCUGCCACGCAUCUGCUUCUGCUGUUACUCCUGGAACUCCAGCUUCCUCGGGACCCACUGGGCCACUCAGGGUGACAGCCACAUAUUGCUAAUCCUUCCUGAGGACUUUCAGCGAGAGGAAAAUGUCAACGAGGAGAUCGUCAUUUGGGGAAGAAGUGAAAACCACACAAGGAAAAGAAACUGAAAAGAAGUGGAGCUAAAGAAGAGAAUCAGUCAUUAUAAACUCCCCUGGCCAAAGGCCAGUGUUGCAUAAAAACGGCAGGUCUUAAGGAUGCCUUGACACUGUAUUGUAAGAACCUAAAAUGCUUCGCUGCUCUUAUAUAUACAACG